GAAAAAUAGUUACACUCCGGCGAGACCGAUGGUUGCGAUAGAGGGCAAGGGAGAGGGCGUGACAAAAAAAAAUUAUAAAGAGAAAGAAAAUAAGAAUAAUAAAAAAUAAAAAUAAAAAAUAUUUUUUUCUACAGGAAAAAAAAUCAUAGAAAAAAAGAAGAUGAUGAAAUUGCAAUGUUAAAAUAAAAUUACAUCGUCUGAAAAAAAUUUUACACUGUUUUAGAUGAAAGUUACACUCUUUGAGACAGAAAUUACACUAUUUGAAAUGAGAGUUACAUUCUUUAGGCAAAAGUUACACUAUUAGGGUGAAAUUUGCACCAUUUUUUUAUUUUCUUCUUCUUCCUCCUCCUUCCCCUCUGUUUUCUUGUCCUUCUCCACCUUCUCCGCCACCGUCACUGUUAAGCGCUCCUCGCGCCGCCGCUCCCUUCUCCGCCGGCGCCACCGCCCCCCUUGAUCAUUUGCUUAAUAAGAUUGAGCUUUGUUGACGAAAC
rnacentral:lncRNA from 1 species